GGGUCAGUAGGUUGGUCGUGCCACCGGUACGUACUGGUCUCACUGAUUCCUCCUUCCUGUAGAACCGUAAUGCCAUUAAUUUGGUGUUGCGGGGAAACAGGACUGUUACUUUGAAAAAAUUAGAGCGUUUAAAGCAAGCUAACGCUUGAAUACAUUAGCAUGGAAUAAUGAAAUAGGACGAUCGAUCCUAUUUUGUUGGUUUCUAGGAUUGACGUA
rnacentral:rRNA from 1 species